rnacentral:rRNA from 1 species
GACGAACGCUGGCGGCGUGCCUAAUACAUGCAAGUUGAGCGCUGAAGGUUGGUACUUGUACCAACUGGAUGAGCAGCGAACGGGUGAGUAACGCGUGGGGAAUCUGCCUUUGAGCGGGGGACAACAUUUGGAAACGAAUGCUAAUACCGCAUAAAAACUUUAAACACAAGUUUAAGGUUUAAAAGUGCCAUUGCACUACUUAAAAAGCGACCCGCGUUGUAUUUAGUAGGUGGGGUGGUAAAGGACCACCGAGGCGAUGAUUCAUAGCCGACCUGAGAGGGUGAUCGGCCACAUUGGGACUGAGACACGGCCCAAACUCCUACGGGAGGCAGCAGUAGGGAAUCUUCGGCAAUGGACGAAAGUCUGACCGAGCAACGCCGCGGGAGGGAAGAAGGUUUUCGGAUCGUAAAACUCUGUUGGUAGAGAAGAACGUUGGUGAGAGUGGAAAGCUCAUCAAGUGACGGUAACUACCCAGAAAGGGACGGCUAACUACGUG